rnacentral:misc_RNA from 1 species
GAAGCACCAACUAGGCUUCCUUUUGAUCUUAACAGUGCCAAUUGAUUUACCUACCUGAAACUCUCCUGGUGGAGUCAUGUUCACUGUGGAGAUGAAGAGUAAUUGUUUCUAGAAUGCCUUGAACUCGGAUGUUUCUCAGAUGUGACAUUAAAUCACCUCAGGGAAGUUAAGCUGGAACGCUUUGGAGGAACCACGAUGCAACUUAUCAAGCUUUUGUUAGCCAUGUCCCAGUGUUG